CUCUGAUCCUCCUAUUUCCCUGAAAGCAGAAAAUAAAUCUCCCAGUGAAAAGUGCAUUCCCUGAAUCUGGAGGUAGAAGGAUGUUCUUAACGCCAAGAUAGGGAAUUCAGGCUGAGAGGCCUGUAUAAACAAAUCUUGUUACUUUUUUUUGUUUGUUUGUUUGUUUGCUAUUUCUUUGGGCCGCUCCUGCGGCAUAUGGAGGUUCCCAGGCUAGGGGUCGAAUCAGAGCCACAGCAACACAGGAUCCGAGCCGCGUCUGCAACCUACACCACAGCUCACGGCAACGCCGGAUCGUUAACCCACUGAGCAAGGGCAGGGAUUGAACCCGCAAUCUCAUGGUUCCUAGUCGGAUUUGUUAACCACUGCGCCACGACGGGAACUCCCUUGUUACUUCUUUAAUUUACUUCCCAAGCCAAAUUCUGUUUAGAUUUUUCACUAGCUGAGCACCCAAAACCUAAAUUUCUUUGCGUUGUCAAUUCUCACACAUUUAUGCUUUCUUAGUAUAAAAUCUACCUGCUUUGGCCACUUCUGAGUUCUCAUUUCUUUGAGAUCUCCACAUGCCUGAAAUAAAAUGUUUCUUUUUCUCCUGUUAAUCUGUUUUGUGUCCAUUUUAUUAUUUGUCUAGCCAUGGGGACUCAAGAAGGGUAGAGGAGAAAAUUUCCACCUGCUGGACAGUUCCCAAUUAUCCAUCUAAUAUUUAUGUAACUUAAUGACAAAGGAGAUUUUCUCUGACCUCAUGUUUCCUAUAACAUCCAGCAUAGUAACUCAUAUCUUUUGGUCACUUAUAAAUUUGUAUUGAUUACUUGAUCUAUAAUUUUAGAAUCACCGUGUCAAGAACAUGGAAGGAUUGCUAUUGAGACAAGCAAAAUAAAUGGAUGUGACAUAUCUCAAAGUUAAGGGAUUAAUCAAUUAUACUUCAAAUUUGAUGGAAGGAAUAAUAUCCCACUAAUUACCGGAAUUUAAUGAUCCAUCUUUGCCAUCAAUUUAUUGCUGCUGCCAUGAGCUAGGAGAGGGCCUGAUUGCUGAAUUGGAUUUGCUUGGCUAAACACAGGCUUCUUUCUUACUGAUGCCCAAUAAAGUUCAGCAUUUUGUCCUCCUUGACAAGCACAAUUUCUAGUUUAAAAUCUCCUUUAAGCUGUUUUUACACUAUUCUGAUCAUUUAAGGAAUCUCUGUGCUUUAGAAUAGUUUCUACAACUUUUUUUUUUUUUUUUGAUAGGGCCUAUCUGAGGUUAUUUUCAAAAUGUGUAAAUACAUCAAUUAAGUAACAACUGGCACGGUUUGGGAGUCUAAUGACAAAGGCUUGCUGGGAAGAAGGAGAUAAAAGAGUAAUGCAAAAGAAUGACCGUCUCGCUCCUGUGAAAGCUGGCUGCAUGACAAUAAUCACGUGAAAGUUAUGAAGGAAAGGCGAGGGGCUUGCUCUUUUCUGCUAUAUGCUGGGAAGGAUGUAGAGGUUCUACAUGCAAGUAGGUUACAAAGGUGAACCAUUUUUUUCCUCCUAAUUAAUGUGGCUAUUCUGAUUAAUAGUUUGUGGCUGACAGGGAAGGUAACAGACCCUUGGGCAUGCAAAUGAUGAGGAUUGGUGGUUGAGAAUAAACUUCUGGAGAAUUUUUUAAGUACAAUCUGAAAUGUGGAAUGUGUAUUAAAAGAUAAGUGUCUGAGGUCUUUUUCUUUCUCCCUUCAAAGUAAUUAUUAAGAAAAAUACAUUCCAGGUCUUUGUUUCUGAAAGAAAAUUUUCUCUAAAAGGAUUAUAUUUCUUUGGCUAAUAUUCCUUAUAUUUACUUGCUUUAAUAAAGAGUUAUGUUUCAGCAUCAAAAGAUAUUUUCCAACCUCUUUUCUAGGUAUAAAUGGUUAAUCUGCAUUUUUGGAAAGCACAGAUAUGGUGUGGUGAGCAAACAUUGCAGGUCCAAUGUCUUCGAGUGGUGAAUAAGCCUAAUUUUAAAAGCUGACUCUCCUAAACUAAACACACAGCACAGAAGCAUGUUGUAUGCCUGGACAGAAUUACUGAUAAUGAAUUAAGCCAACCAUUGAUUUGGGAACAGAAGGGAUAAUAUGGAUUUUAUUUACAAAGCCUCAGAAUCUUUUGAGGCAGACCCCAUAUCACUGAGCAAUACUGAACCUCUCGAUUCUUGGCUGUGUGUUCAUUUAUGGCGACACAUACUUCAGACUUUAAAAAAAAAAAAAAUCUGCGAAGAGGUUAAUUAAAAAUUUUACCCUCCCUCCAGCACAUAACUGAAGGAAUACUCUGAAAAUUGUCAGGCAAAGCACAAAAUUUUAGAUAAAAUCCUAAUAGUGUAAGUAUAAUAUUAGUUCAUUAAGGAAAGUGGUUGCUUGCCAGUUUUUUUUUUUUAAACAGCUAUGUUUAAAUAUAAGUAACCUUCCAUACAAUUCACCUAUUUAAAUGUACAAUUCAAUUGUAUUUAGUAAAUUCACAGAGUUGCGUAACCAUCACCCUGACCAAUAUGAAAAAAUUGUAAUGACCAUCCCCACAAAGAAAUCUCCUAUUAGUGGUCUCUUUCCAAUUCUUCCCAACAGCCUCAGUUUUAAGCAGCCACUCACUUUGUGCCUCUAUGGACAAAAGAUGGUCUUUUGUUAUAGCUUAUUUCAUGAAUAUAAUGUUUUCAAGUCUCAUUUAUGUUAUAUGUCUCAGCAUUUCAGUCCUUUCUUAUCACUGAAUCACAUGCCAGUAUACGAAUAUAUGGACCACCAUAUAAAGAAAAUGAUAAAUUUUCUUUAUCAUUUUACCAGCUUAGGGUUGUUUCUACCAUUUUGUUGUUGUGAAUAAUGUUAUGAAUAUUUGUGUAUAUGUUUUUGUGUGGAGAUAUGUUCUGUUGGGCUACACCCCAUAGUCCUGAAAGCUUUGUAGAUAUCCAGGCCUGAGAUUGAAGAAGACCCCAUAGACAGUUGUAGAGACAUCAACAGUUUAUUAAACAGGAGAUUUUAUGUGUCUGAGACAAAAGUUCAUGGAGUGACACCCCACCAUGGACAGUGGACAGCAGGCAGGACAUGGUACUCAUUGGGGGAGAAGAAGGCUACCAUUUAUAGGGGGGAUUGACCUCAGGUUGGCUCAUCAGGUACCAGGGAACUGUAGCUGGGUCAGGGGGCAAGUACAUGGGCAAUCAUUAAGCCCUAUGAUUAAGAGCAUUAGGUAGUCAUAUGAGUGCAGCAGAGCCAGAUUGAACAGGGGAUGCACAGAGAACAGAACAGCUAUCUUGGCAGCUCCCACUGUGGUUCAGUGGGUUAUGAACCCGACUAGGAUCCAUGAGGAAUGUGAGUUUGAUUCCUGGCCUCACUCAGUGGGUUAAGGAUCCAGCGUUUCUUUGGCUGUGGUGUAGCCCCACAGCUGUAACUCAGAGUCAACCCCUAGGCUGGGAACUUCCAUAUGCUGCAGGUGUGGCCCUUGGAAAAAAAAAAUAGCCAUCUUGAGUGGCCUGAACCUACAUGUGCCUACUUCAGGAAUGUCACUCACCACCCAGCUCUACAAGAAAUAAGUCAUUAGCCACUGCAGUCCUGGACCUCCAAUACACCCUGAAAAGGAUUCAGUGUGGGGAUCAGAAAUGAGGCACUCUUUGCUCUGGGAAAGUUGGCCUAACAGAACUUCAGGUAGAUAAUUUCAGGAGGAAAUUUUAUGAAGUAGCGUUCUUGCAUAUUUCCAUACUCAGAAAACUACUAAAAUCAUUAACAGAUAUCUGUUCCUUGGGACUUCUACUGAGACCUAUGCUUGAUUGCACAUCCCCACAUCCUCCCCAGCACCGGCCAAAAUCACAUACACACUGGUCUUCCCUUCCCCUCACCUCUUCAGAGCAGUUUCUCUGAACUAUCAGAGAGGCUGUCUGUCUCCUCGGCUAUGGGCCUCAGAAAGUUACCAAAUAAAACUGAAACU
rnacentral:lncRNA from 1 species